rnacentral:rRNA from 1 species
AAAUGAAUAGACGGGGACCCGCACAAGCGGUGGAGCAUGUGGUUUAAUUCGAUGAUAAGCGAGGAACCUCACCAGGGUUUGACAUCUGGCUGCAGAUCCCAGAGAUGGGAAGUCCUUCGAGGGUGCCAGACAGGUGCUGCAUGGUUGUCGUCAGCUCGUGUCGUGAGAUGUACCGUUAAGUCGGGAAACGAGCGCAACCCCUAUCCUGUGUUUCAUGUGUCACAGGAGACUGCCCGUAUUAAAUGGGAGGAAGGUGGGGAUGACGUCAAAUCAGCAUGGUUCUUACAUCCUGGGCGACACACGUGCUACAAUGGGAGGUACAACGGGAAGCCAAGCCGCGAGGUGGAGCAAAUCCCAAAAAACCUCUCUCAGUUCGGAUCGGAGUCUGCAACUCGACUCCGUGAAGCCGGAAUCGCUAGUAAACGCGCAUCAGCCACGGCGCGUUGAAUACGUUCUCGGGUCUUGUACACACCGCCCGU